UUUGUUUGUUCUUGUUGAUUAAAUGCGACACUCUUAUUCACGUCCAUACAAAAAAAACGACUUGCCUGAUGGGUGAAACAAUGACAAAAACGCCACCUGCUGGAGGGAGACACGUUUUCCGCCGAGUUGGACCUCUCUCUCCCGAACUCUUCCCUCUCUGACGCGCUCCCGGGGGUGACGUCACCUCCCACAGCACCGACGGACAACACGCGGAUCCCUGUCUACGUGGCGGGGCGGAAGGAGCGCGUCUAGCGGAGAGAGUUGUCAGCAGCGAGACGAACCGAUGAACAUGUCUGACUCCAACCCUCCCAUAUUCCCCCCCGCUCCUCUCUCUGACCCCUCCCACACCGACCCCAGCCCCCCAGGAGAAGACACACACACAGUUCUCCCGCCUUCCACACCCGUCCCCCAGCCCUCGUUGGCCACGGAGGGUUCCGAGUGCUCUGAGCCAGCCAACGAGGUGGCAGGAGAAGACGUGACCAGGGACGACAGAGAUGAGGCUCCUCUUGACCAAUCAGGGGGCGGCGGCGGCGUGGAGGAUCAGGUGACUGAGUGUGGCCAAUUGGUGAGCCUGGAGGCGGAGACCGCUGCUGCCGAGGGGGAGGAAGAGGACUCUCUUCAGGUCAAGGGGAAAGGUUGGGGUGGAUGGGGCUCCUGGGGGAAGUCUCUACUGACCAGUGCCACAUCUACUGUGGGUAACAGUCUAACUUCAGUAAAGGAGAAGGCCGGAGCUCUGCGUCUUCACAGGACCUCAGUAGGAGAGGGAGGCGAGGAG